AGAGUUUGAUCCUGGCUCAGAAUAAACGUUGGCGGCGUGCUUAACACAUGCAAGUCGCGCGAGAAAGCUCCUUCGGGAGCAAGUAAAGCGGCGGACGGGUGCGUAACACGUGAGAAUUUGCCCUUUAGUGAAGAAUACCCACGAGAAAUUGUGGUUAAUACUGCAUGAGUUCCUUCGGGAAGAAAGGUGGCUUUAUGCUACCGCUAAAGGAUGAGCUUGCGGGCUAUUAGCUAGUUGGUGGGGUAAAGGCCUACCAAGGCGAUGAUGGCUAGCCGGCCUGAGAGGGUGUACGGCCACAUUGGGACUGAGAUACGGCCCAGACUCCUACGGGAGGCAGCAGUGAGGAAUAUUGCGCAAUGGGCGAAAGCCUGACGCAGCGACACCGCGUGGAGGAUGACGGUCUUAGGAUUGUAAACUCCUGUUAAGUGGGAAGAAAACUCAAUCUCUAAUAUAGAUUGAGUAUGACGGUACCACUAGAGAAAGCACCGGCUAACUUCGUGCCAGCAGCCGCGGUAAUACGAGGGGUGCAAACGUUAUUCGGAUUUACUGGGCGUAAAGGGUGUGUAGACGGCAUGCUAAGUUCGUUGUUAAAUCUUCCGGCCUAACUGGAAGCUUGCGAUGGAAACUGGCACGCUAGAGGAUGGAAGAGAGAAGCGGAAUUCUCGGAGUAGCGGUAAAAUGCGUAGAUCUCGAGAGGAACACCGAUGGCGAAGGCAGCUUCUUGGUCCAAUCCUGACGUUGAGACACGAAAGCGUGGGUAGCAAACAGGAUUAGAUACCCUGGUAGUCCACGCUGUAAAC
rnacentral:rRNA from 1 species